UACGUAGGGUGUGAGCGUUGUCCGGAAUUAUUGGGCGUAAAGAGCUCGUAGGCGGUCUGUCACGUCGGCUGUGAAAACCCGAGGCUCAACCUCGGGCCUGCAGUCGAUACGGGCAAACUAGAGUACUGCAGGGGAGACUGGAAUUCCUGGUGUAGCGGUGAAAUGCGCAGAUAUCAGGAGGAACACCGGUGGCGAAGGCGGGUCUCUGGGCAGUAACUGACGCUGAGGAGCGAAAGCGUGGGGAGCGAACAGG
rnacentral:rRNA from 1 species